AGUAAGGUGGAAGGGCUGGUAAAAUGGCUGAAUAAGCAUUAGGCUGUAAACCUAAAGAUGGGGGUCUAGUCCCCCUUUUAUC
rnacentral:tRNA from 1 species